CACUUGUGUAUACCAUUAUAAAAACAUUAAUACCAAGAAGAAUAUAUUUGGCCUAUACUUGGUAAGAUUAUAAACAAAUUGUGCCUCAACAUGAAAUAAACUUUUCUUUAAAAAUAUUAUUACAAGAAUAAUGACUGAAGCCCUUCUAUUUAGGGAAUGUUAUAAUCAAUAUAGUCCAUCUUUUGCCCUUCCUUUUUUACCCCUUUAAUCGAGAAGCUUGUGGGAAUGACAUGGUGGCAUUACAAGGUCGGCAGCUCUAUGUCUGUCCCUCAAGAAACUCCCCCAAACAGUUCUCAUAGAAAACAACUAGCUAUUAGUCUUGCCAUCUCAUGCAAUGACUAGAUAAUCAAUAUAUCCAAGUAUCUGUUCUGCCUUGUUUUCCCUUGCCUCCUCGCCAGCAGAGUUGCAUACGCAGCUUUCUCAGCAUUCUUGUUUUCUCCUUUGCUAUUACCAUUACUCUUGGAGAUAUGCAACACCAAUCGGCUAAAACUAACAAUUUACAUGGUGAAAUGAUUGUUUAUUUGCUAGCAAACUUAGUCAUCUUCAGCACCGUUGAACCCAUCAUCCAUGUCAUCCAUGUCAUGCUCAUCUGCUUGCCCUAGGUCGGCAUCGUCAAUGAUACCAUGCAUUAUAACAUCAUCAUCGAGAUCUUGAUCAGGCACUCCUAGCAAGUUAUCAGGAACCUUCAUAGAUUCAAGAUUUGAAUCACUGAAAAAUGAAGCGUAAGGCUUGGAGACCUUGAAUACAAGAUCUCUCUUCUCAGCACUUUCCACCAGGUUGUUCCAAUGCUCAUCACUCCUCAGAGUUGAUGCAGACCCCACCACCAGCACAGUAGACUUUGCUCGGGUAAUACCGACGUUCAUUCUUCGGGCAUCCGAGACAAACCCAAUACCCCUGUCCUUAUUGGCCCUAACACAUGAGAAUAUGGCAACAUCUUUUUCUCGACCCUGGAAACCAUCAACAGUUUGUAUAUCAACAAACUUUUGAGAUUCCUGCCCAAAAGUAUCCCGAAAUCGGUCUUGGAAAAGCUUGACUUGGUAUCUAUAGGGAGAGAUAAUUGCAAGUUGUGAACUUGACCUAAGCUCCGGAUACAUAGUCACCAAUUUAUGAUACAAGAGGAGCACAAACUCAACCUCAUCGGUGUUCACCCAGGACCCACUUCCAGAGGGCUGCGAUUCUUUUCCUUCAUGUAUAUCAAAGAAGCAAAAAGGACUGAAGCAGCGAUAUUUGUGCCAUUCACGUUCUGUCUUACUCAAAAUAUCUUCUGCAUCCAGCAGUGCCUCAGAAUAGAACUCCCUUGAAGGAAAGUUUCUAAUCUCAGGAUGCAUUCGGUAUUGCAAUUUCAGCAUAUUGACUGGAUAACCAGCUCUCUGAAGCCUCUCAAACAAACUUGUGCCAUAACCAAACUUCGUAGCAACAGGAGAAAUUACAGUGGCAGGUAGUUGAACUGGAUCACCAACCUAAAAUAAUAUUAAAAUGAAUAAGCUGCAGAAUCAAUCAUUAACAUAUACAAACAUUUCCCAAGAACAUACAGUGGUGAACAUGUGGAUAAAAGCACAGAUUUGACAGCUUGCAUUAAGCACUCAUGUUAUUUUGUUUACAAGGAUUGUGAGAUUCAUUCCUACUCAUAAAGCUCUUAAUUGCUACCUGUUAGGAACAAUUGUUAGUAAUUAGUGCAUAAUAAAACUACAUUGUUUUUGGCUAGUAGUCUAGUUAGUUACAGACCAGCUGGAAUGGUCUUUCUCUCGUUCUUGUUCUUCUCUCUAUCAAAUUCUCUCUUUCCCAACAGCCAAACACUCAUAGUUAGGCCUCAAUAACUCAGGGCCUAACAUUGCCAGCAUAAAAGAAACACCAGGAAAAAAACAAUUGAGAGAGAUGCAUUACUGAUAUUAAUAGCAGAAACCUACAGUGUUUUAUAAGUUAUCAUCAAUGACCAGGAAGAAAUUUGGAGUAUGGUCACAAAAGUAACAACAUCAGAGACAUACCAGAAAGACUUGUUUACAUCCAUUGGCCAAAGGAACAAGAGUUGCUGGUUCCACAGCUUGGGCAGCUUCAUCUAUUAUAACCACAUCAAAACCAUGAUUCAGUUUACUAAAAAGUGCUGAACCACUGAAGCUGAGUGUGGAGAACACUAUUACAGCUUCUUCCAAAAUAGCAUUUCGAAUACUAUCAAUAUCGCCUCCUGCAGCUCCAUGCUUCUUAUCAGCAGCAAACUCAUCUUGUUUUUGUUUCACGAGGUAAUCCAUGCAGACUGACUGGACAGAAUGAUGAGCUUUGAGACCAAUCCGCACAAUUUUAGGAUUAUAUGUACGAACAUUUUCAUCACGAAUACCAGUCCUAAGAAGGCGCAGCACAAUCUCAUCAAGUGCAGAGUUUGAUGGCGCACAUACCAAUACGCGUACACGAUAUUUACGACUAGAAGCAACAACUUCUGGUUUCAACUCAUUUCCAGUAGUAGGAAAAUAACCAUCAUCACCAUCUUUGGGCAUGUUUAUAUCUCUAGGAUUAUUACCACUCAACCAUGGAGAUGCACGUGCCCAAUGAUUGUACUUCUCUUGAAUUGGUAUUUCUGGCCCACAUUUAAACUCAUGCAAUGAACCCUUGGAUUGUACUCUUGCUGGAGCAGCAUGCAAAAUUGCACUAAGAAGUGCAAGGAUGGUUUGCGUCUUUCCCGUUCCAGGGGGACCCUGUAUCAAGACAAAGGCUUUACGUGAUAGGCCAGCCUUAUGAACUUCCUCCUUUACACACCAUUCAACAUGCAGUCGACCUUAUAUCAAGGUCUCACUCUCAAUCACCAAACAUCUACAGCUUCUAGUUGUGACUUGUUAAGGAUUCCUCCAAAAUAUUCACGCAGAGUUCCAGAAACUUUCCACGCCUGGUCUCCAGACCCAGAAUUUUUAUCAGUAGCCUUUAGUAUUAAAUCCUUGAAAGGAAGAGAGCAAAUUGACCGCAGAGCAAAAUAUUCACGAGAAAUAGUUGAUAAACUGCAAAUCUUUAGACUAAACAAAAGCUUUUCCUGUAGCUUCAGAGGAGAAGUCAUGAAACGCCGCAUUCUUAAAAGCCUUGGACGAGAUUCAAGGUUGUCUAUAUUUAAACAAGUAACCUCUCCAUCUAAGAACAUUCUAAGUCUAAGAAGAUUAUGCUGGCGGUGUUCCACCAAAGCAAAUGCAUGUGUCUCAGGGAGUUUUUGAACAUCUUUAAUCUGCUCUCUGGAAAGGAGCAAAAGAUCAUUUUGUGAUAUUUUCUCACCCUCAUCAUCUCCAUAAGUAACUGCAGGUAACAGAAACCCCUCUGCCUCAUUCCAUUCCACGACCAACCUCAUUACCCAUUCAUUCACUUCUUCAUCAUCUUUUUUCUGAAUAAUUAGAGCCUUCACUUCCUCAAAUAAAAGGGGCUCAAAAGUUGCAAGGUAAUCAUCAACGUCUUUGUAGGUUUUCUUCACCUCUCUUAAACCUGAAGUAGCAGGUUCAUUAUCAUCUUUUCUUCUCUCUCUCUGCUUCUCUUUAUCAGCUUCUCUGAGGAGCGCAAAAUAGUCCCAACCCAGCACGAUUUUGCAGAAACGAAUAAAUGAAGCUUCUUCAAGAAGCUUGUCUUUGUCCACUGCCAUCUCAGCCUCCUUCUGGUUAGCUGCAAGCGCCGGAGAUGGAGCUCCAAUUCACUUGUUUUGCAGUGGGGACUUUGCUAUCAGGGCUUAGCCGUCUAGGAAGCAAG
rnacentral:misc_RNA from 1 species